CUCUCUCUCUCUCUCUCUCUUCAUGUUACUUUGUUCCUCAAUUCAAUAACUCAAGUGUGAAGAAACUAGUCCUUUAUGCUAAAGGUAUAUUUCCAGUGUUUAUAUUUAUAUGUUUUAUAAAUUUUUCCUGCUUAUUCCUAUCAAUUUGAUAUUUACUCAAAUUUAGUAAGAGUUUUUAGCACUCAAGAUUCUUUUCACUUUUUUGCACGUGCAUCAUGCUAUUGCUAGUCAAAUAAAGAGUGUCAUGCAAGCAGAUAAUUUGGAUGCACAACAAAUUAUGCCCAUCAUAAACGUGAUGAAAUGACCACUUCGGACAACGUAUAGAACUUAAAACAAAUUCAUUAAAUGUUAGGAGAAUCACAUAUCAGAUACAUUGAAUGGACCAAUUACAAUGAUUCCUCGUUCAAAGAAUAGGACUCUCCUAUGCAUGGCCUUUGUCAGAUGUUAUUACUACGGAACAUAUCCUUUGCUGUUUGGAAACACCGAAUUACUAGCUAUUAGUCACAUGCUUUUGAACCUAAUCAAUGUAUGUACCAUGCCUCACCCCCAUCUAGUAAUGUGAUGAAGUCCCAAUAGCUUUUGCAAGAAAGUAGGAAAUAAAAUCGGCACAUAUUUUUGAACUAAACAGUGAACAUAGCACAAUCACAGAGUUCCAUGAGCACGGGAUAUAAAAUUCACCAAGAAAAAUGUGCAUCAAUUGAUAUUAGUCUCUGGGAUCAUUGAUUACUUUUGCACUAUUCAAUUGACAAUAUGUUGCAUAUUUCAACUAAGUAAUCUAGUUGUAGAAUUACAUUCACUAGAAAACAAAAGGACCCUAGAGGCAAACAAUGGUACACCAAAUUCAGUUAGUGCUUUGUCCAAAUAUUAUUCGGGCCGGACUCAAAAUGGUAAAGGUAUUGGAAAACAAAAUCAAGUCCGAUGGUUGUGAUGGCCAAAUGGUCAUGAUUUCAAAAACCCUUUUUCAGUAAACAAGGCCAAUCAUACAAGGUUAAACACACACUAGUAAACAAGAUCCUUGUGUAGGGCAGAAAAGGAUCCUGAAGCCAACGCAAUGCAUUUAUUAUUAAUGGAAAAUAUUAUUUGCUAAAAAUGAAAUAACUACAAGCAAAUUUAGAAUAAUGCAACUUGGUUAAAGCUUACCAUAGUAGUAAGAUGAAAGAAUUGUGAUGCGCUCAGUCGGCUGGAAGAAAAAGAAAGAAGAGCUCAGUGCUGAGAAAGCAAUGACUUCAGGGGUGAUAAUCCUAAGUCAGUAUAAUUACUAUAAUAUGAACAACAUUGACAGAAAAGCACUUAAAGUUGAAAUUGCAUGAAACGACAUAUCAGAUGGAUUAAAAAAUUGCCUAAUAUGAUAGAUGCAUAUUAAUGGUCUAAAAAGUUUUUUUAUAAUUUCAGAGAUAUCAUGAAUGCUUAAGUGUAGAAAAGUAAGACUGCAUAGAUUGCAGGGUUAGCAUACAUUUCUUACAUUAUGUUUUCACUUUUAAGACAUAACACAAAUGCCCAAUUUAUACAUUCUGCAUCUACCGAGCAUGGCUAGACUGAAAGAACAUUAGAAGUGUACCAUUACAAAGAUGCCUUCACGUCGAGUAGGGAGUUGCUCAAGCUUUGUGAGUGUGUCAUCCCCUUUGGUAACUUUACCAAAUAUUGCAUACUGGCCAUCAAGAUGAGGGGCAUCCCCAAGAAGUAUUGAAAACGAAGAUGAUGCACUAUUUGGAUCAGAAUAUCUCCCCAUAGAAAGAAUGCCUCUCACAUGCUUGACAUCACUAAAUUCACCAAUGACAGUCUUUUCAGCUUCCUUUCGUUGUUCUUCAUUCAUUGGGGCAGACCGUCCACCUACAACAUCCGCCACUUGGGCAACAAACCCCUUAUCAACCCGAAAGAAAUGAUUGGUGUUAUAGCAUCCAAGCCGAACGAGCUUGAAAAUAUGAUCUACAGUUUUGGGCGCCACAGAAGGGAAGAAUCCGAACUCAAUGUCCCCAUAAUUAGUCUGGAAAACGACACGAGCAGAACCGAGCUCAGGAUCCUCAGACGAGGCACUAACAACGGCGACAAAUGCCACGCAAAACCAACCGGCGAUCCACAUUUUUCUGUUGCUCAAAUUUGGCGCCUGAUCUGAAACUGAUAGAGUUCAGACUUU
rnacentral:misc_RNA from 1 species